rnacentral:rRNA from 1 species
CGUUGUCGUCAGCUCGUGUCGUGAGAUGUUGGGUUAAGUCCCGCAACGAGCGCAACCCUUUUCCUUAUUUGCCAGCGGGUUAAGCCGGGAACUUUAAGGAUACUGCCAGUGACAAACUGGAGGAAGGCGGGGACGACGUCAAGUCAUCAUGGCCCUUACGACCAGGGCUACACACGUGCUACAAUGGUCGGUACAAAGGGUUGCUACCUAGCGAUAGGAUGCUAAUCUCAAAAAGCCGAUCGUAGUCCGGAUUGGAGUCUGCAACUCGACUCCAUGAAGUCGGAAUCGCUAGUAAUCGCGGAUCAGAAUGCCGCGGUGAAUACGUUCCCGGGCCUU